GGAGGAAGCAGUUCAGUGGUAGAGCACGUGCUUAGUGUGUAUGAGGUCCUGGGUUCAAUCCCCAGGUACCUCCA
rnacentral:tRNA from 1 species